rnacentral:rRNA from 1 species
AUUGAACGCUGGCGGCAGGCCUAACACAUGCAAGUCGAGCGAGCGGCGGACGGGUGAGUAAUGUCUGGGAAACAGCCUGAUGGAGGGGGAUAACAACUGGAAACGGUAGCUAAUACCGCAUACCAUCAGAUGUGCCCAGAUGGGAUUAGCUAGUAGGUGGGGUAACGGCGCACCUAGGCGACGACCCCUAGCUGGUGUGAGAGGAUGACCAGCCACACUGGAACUGAGACACGGUCCAGACUCCUCCGGGAGGCAGCAGUGGGGAAUAUUGCCCAAUGGGCGCAAGCCUGAUGCAGCCAUGCCGCGUGUGUGAAGAAGGCCUUCGGGUUGUAAAGCACUUUCAGCGGGGAGGCGUUACCCGCAGAAAAAGCACCGGCUAACUCCGUGCCAGCAGCCGCGGUAAUUC